UACGUAGGGUGCAAGCGUUGUCCGGAAUUAUUGGGCGUAAAGAGCUCGUAGGCGGUUUGUCGCGUCGGCUGUGAAAGCCCGGGAGCUCGACUCCGGGUCUGCAGUCGAUACGGGCAGACUUGAGUGUUGCAGGGGGAGACUGGAAUUCCUGGUGAGCGGUGAAAAUGCGCAGAUAUCAGGAGGAACACCGUAUAGCGAAAGGGCGGGAUCC
rnacentral:rRNA from 1 species